rnacentral:rRNA from 1 species
CUACGGAGGGAGCAAGCGUUAUUCGGAAUCACUGGGCGUAAAGGACGCGUAGGCGGGUUUGUAAGUCAGGUGUGAAAUCCUACAGCUCAACUGUAGAACUGCACUUGAAACUACAGACCUAGAGUAUGGAAGGGGCAGAUGGAAUUAGUGGUGUAGGGGUAAAAUCCGUAGAUAUCACUAGGAAUACCGAAAGCGAAGGCGAUCUGCUGGGACAUUACUGACGCUGAGGCGUGAAAGCGUGGGGAGCAAACAGGAUUAGAAACCCCUGUAGUCC